rnacentral:rRNA from 1 species
CACGUAGGUGACUUGCCCCGAAGAUGGGGAUAACCUCUGGAAACGGGGGCUAAUACCCAAUGUGCUCGGUGAUUCGGUUGAUCGAGUAAAGCUCCGGCGCUUCGGGAGAGGCCUGCGGCCCAUCAACUAGUUGGUAGGGUAACGGCCUACCAAGGCAGAGACGGGUAGGGGGCGUGAGAGCGCGGACCCCCACACUGGCACUGCGACACGGGCCAGACUCCUACGGGAGGCAGCAGUAAGGAAUAUUGCGCAAUGGACGAAAGUCAGACGCAGCGACGCCGCGUGGGCGAUGAAGGCCUUCGGGUUGUAAAGCCCUUUUAAGGGGGAAGAGAAAAAGGACGGUACCCCAUGAAUAAGUCCCGGCUAACUACGUGCCAGCAGCCGCGGUAAAACGUAGGGGACAAGCGUUAUCCGGAUUCACUGGGCGUAAAGAGCGUUGAGGCGGUUCCGUAAGUUGGGCGUGAAAGCUCCGGGCUUAACCCGGAGAUGUCGUUCAAUACUGCGGGGCUUGAGGACAGCAGAGGAAGGUGGAAUUCCCGGUGUAGUGGUGAAAUGCGUAGAUAUCGGGAGGAACACCCGUGGCGAAGGCGGCCUUCUGGGCUGUUCCUGACGCUGAAGGCGAAAGCUAGGGGAGCGAACGGGAUUAGAUACCCCGGUAGUCCUAGCUGUAAACGAUGGAUGCUGGGUGUGGGGGGUGUAAAUUCCCUCUGUGCCGAAGCAAACGCGUUAAGCAUCCCGCCUGGGGACUACGGCCGCAAGGCUAAAACUCAAACGAAUUGACGGGGGCCCGCACAAGCAGCGGAGCGUGUGGUUUAAUUCGAUGCUACACGAAGAACCUUACCUGGGUUUGACAUGCACGUGGUAGGGAACCGAAAGGGGACCGACCUUCGGGAGCGUGCACAGGUGCUGCAUGGCUGUCGUCAGCUCGUGCUGUGAGGUGUCGGGUUAAGUCCCGUAACGAGCGCAGCCCUUGCCCUUAGUUACAAGUGUCUAAGGGGACUGCCCGGGACAACUGGGAGGAAGGUGGGGAUGAUGUCAAGUCAGCAUGUCCUUUAUAUCCAGG